rnacentral:tRNA from 1 species
UGGUUGGUAGCUUAAUGGUUAGAGCAACUUCUAAAAACGAAGUAGGUUGAGGUUCGAUUCCUCACUAACUGUCAA